rnacentral:rRNA from 1 species
CCUACGGGUGGCUGCAGUAGGGAAUAUUGGACAAUGGGGGCAACCCUGAUCCAGCCAUGCCGCGUGAGUGAAGAAGGCCCUCGGGUUGUAAAGCUCUUUUGUCCGGAAAGAAAAGCAAUCGGUUAAUACCCGGUUGUUCUGACGGUACCGGAAGAAUAAGCACCGGCUAACUUCGUGCCAGCAGCCGCGGUAAUACGAAGGGUGCAAGCGUUACUCGGAAUUACUGGGCGUGGUGCGUGAGGUGGGGGGUGAAAGCCCUGGGCUCAACCUGGGAAUGGCAUUGGAUACUGGCGAGCUAGAGUGCGGUAGAGGGUAGUGGAAUUCCCGGUGUAGCAGUGAAAUGCGUAGAGAUCGGGAGGAACAUCUGUGGCGAAGGCGACUGCCUGGACCAGCACUGACACUGAGGCACGAAAGCGUGGGGAGCAAACAGGAUUAGAUACCCCUGUAGUC